UACGAAGGGGGCUAGCGUUGCUCGGAAUUACUGGGCGUAAAGCGCACGUAGGCGGAUUGUUAAGUCGGGGGUGAAAUCCUGGAGCUCAACUCCAGAACUGCCUUCGAUACUGGCGACUCGUCAGUCCGGGAGAGGUGAGUGGAACUGCGAGUGUAGAGGUGAAAUUCGUAGAUAUUCGCAAGAACACCAGUGGCGAAGGCGGCUCACUGGCCCGAUACUGACGCUGAGGUGCGAAAGCGUGGGGAGCAACAGG
rnacentral:rRNA from 1 species